CUGCUCCUUCCUCCUCAGAGCCUGAAGAUCAGGAAAAGGACCUAAAAAGCGACACCGAAGACACCGUCUGUCAGGCAAGCCUAGCGGAAGACAAGCAGAGAAAGAAACAGGACGCCCUUGGGAAGCUGGACCGUGAGAGCAGAAAGUCGGACCAGGAGGUUGAAAAGUCAGACCGUGAGAGUGAAAAGUCGGACCGUGAGAGCAGAAAGUCAGACCGUGAGAGUGAAAAGUCGGACCAGGAGAGUGAAAAGUCGGACCGGGAGGGUGGAAAGUUGGAACCAGAGACUGAGAAGAGUGACUCUGAGACCAGUGACCAGGAGCAGCAUGAAGACGACGAGAGCAUAGACUUACGCGCCCAGGAGGCCAAGGAACAGGAGUCAGAGUCCAUAAAGCUGGAAGUCCCUCUGGAAAAAAAG